UUACUCACCGGGUUAUUACGCGGAGAAAGUCCUCGGUAAUUUUCGGGCUCUUGUUUUUAAAUAUCUUCCCCCCUCACGGCCACUGAGAAUGGGCUCAACGUCAGUGGGAGCGGAGAGAGAGAGAGAGAGAGAGAGAGAGAGAGAGAGAGAGAGAGAUAGAGAGAGAGAGGAACCGGAGCCGGAAUGUCGCUCAGCUCAGCUCAGCAUUCAUCCGGUACACUGGAUCUGCUGGAGCGACCCGCUCCGAGACUGGAACCAACCAACCAACCAACCAACCGAGCCGGGUCUGCUAUGCUGUGUACACACAGUCUAUGAUACAUAAAUCUAUUCCCACCUGGUUUAUGAAUGAACAACCGCCAGGCUCCAGAGACCAGCCCACAUCCUCCACAACCAACCAACCACUGGCUGUCUUCCAGUCCAAAUGUGUUCACAGUGCACACUUUACUCUGCUGUGGACAGGGAGCUCAUGCUGCUCGGCGGUGUGUCCGAAAAUAUGGAGAGAGAGACAGUGUUGGAGUCGUUCAUUCCCGAGGGUCUACUUACUAUGAUGUUCAAGAGCUGUGCUGGCAUAUUUUGCUUCCACUUUCUUUCGCUGAAACAUGAAAAUGUGAGUUAAAUUAUCGCUGUAGACGACAGAUUUUUGUGCUUUCAUUCUUACUGUACCAAGCCCCUUCAGGUUCAUGUGCGUCUAUCCCCAAACAACUGUGUUAUUGGGGUUCUGUUGUGUUUGACCCGGUGACAGCGCUGCAGACUGAGCAGUGGAGUCUGGUCAACAAAUAGGAUUGCAAAGGCUGGAGGGAAUCAGGAGGGCAAUGAGGAGGAGGAGGAAGACGAGGGCUCUGCAAACAGUGGAGACAACUAUUGCGCUCCAUUUGACAAAAAGACAUGAGGGAAAUGUGAUAAACCCCAUUGAUUCUCAUUAUAGCAGGAGAGGCAGACAGAGAGAACAGACAUACCUCGACAGGCUGUGGUGAAGCCUCCUGAUGAUUUCCAACCCCUCGUUUUUUGUUUUUUCUUCUUCCCUCAGACUUUUUGAGCAGCACCAGCAGAAAGCUGGCUGCCGGCACCCCAUGCUGCUUUGCUUUUGGGGGGAGCGGAGAGCCAAUCAAUGUGUGCUCACAAAGGGGGGAAGAGCAUUCAGAAAGCCAACUGUUCCCUCAGGCCAUGGGCAAUGAAGAAGUGGGAGAGACAGAGGGAGACAGUGCAGAGAGAGAGAGAGAAGAGAGGCGAGCGGGUUGACAACAUGUUUCCUUUGCUACUAUAAACUGAGAGGAAUAACAUGAUCACUGCAGUGCUGACGUGCAGGAAAUGUAAUACAAACUCCACUGAAAUCACAUCACGAGAAUAUCGCCUGUUUAAAGAACAUCACAACAAAGCCACUGCCAAUGUUUGCGUCAUUAAGAAUUCAUAUCAGUUUAUUAUUUUGCGAUUAAUCGAUUAGUCGAUUCAUUCUAGAGACUGGAUGUGUAAAGGUGAAAAAUACCUGUCACCAGUUUCGAGAGCCCAAGCUAACAUUGGCAAAUUGCUAUCAAAAAUAGUCCGUUAAAAAUAUUAUAAAGCAGAAAAACUACAAGCUCAGAAUACAGAUUUAUUCCAUUUACGAUGAU